UGGAAGUAAAAGUCGUAACAAGGUCUCCGUUGGUGAACCAGCGGAGGGAUCAUUACCGAGUUUACAACUCCCAAACCCCUGUGAACAUACCUUAUUGUUGCCUCGGCGGAUCAGCCCGCGCCCCGUAAAACGGGACGGCCCGCCAGAGGACCCAAACUCUAUUGUAUUUAGUGUAUCUUCUGAGUAACACAAACAAAUAAAUCAAAACUUUCAACAACGGAUCUCUUGGUUCUGGCAUCGAUGAAGAACGCAGCAAAAUGCGAUAAGUAAUGUGAAUUGCAGAAUUCAGUGAAUCAUCGAAUCUUUGAACGCACAUUGCGCCCGCCAGUAUUCUGGCGGGCAUGCCUGUUCGAGCGUCAUUUCAACCCUCAAACCCCCGGGUUUGGUGUUGGGGAUCGGAUUGCUAGUCAAUCCGUCUCCGAAAUCUAGUGGCGGUCUCGCUGCAGCCUCCAUUGCGUAGUAGCUAACACCUCGCAACUGGAACGCGGCGCGGCCAUGCCGUUAAACACCCAACUUCUGAAUGUGACCUCG
rnacentral:rRNA from 1 species